rnacentral:tmRNA from 1 species
GGGGGUGCACUGGUUUCGACGGGGACGUAGAAGCCGGAGUGGCAGGCCGAGGCGCCGCUGGCCUCGUAAAAAGCGGCAAAAAUGUAAUUGCCAACAACGAUUACGACUCUGACUUCGCUUACGCCUAUGUGGCUUAGGCAAGUUUCUUGACCGCAAAUAUCGGUCACGCUGUUCGGGAUGACGCCUGAUAUUCCUAGGCAGCGACACUUUAUCGGGCUGGCGAAGACCGGCGCUCGUCGAUGGUGUUCGCGAGAUAUUACGGCGAGUUUGCUGUGUCGCGGUUGAUCAGGACCUAACGACACAAGCGAGAUAUGAUUCCUGAUCCAAGCCUGUAGAUGCUUUGAGCGGAAUGCUCUUCGGACAGGAGUUCGAUUCUCCUCACCUCCACCA